GAAAGCCCCACUUCCAGUCUGAUGAGGAAAGCGACAAUCUAUCAGGUACAGAACCAGGGGCUGUCUGCGAAGAUGGAGGGGAAUUAUGCUUCGGAUUCCUCUGAAAUAUUGGCCAAAGGCUUCAAAGAAUCCGCAGCGGGAGGUGCGGGGGGAAUGUCUCUCCCCAGCCCGCACCCAGCCCUUCCCACUUCGUGUCUACCAAAUGACAGCCUGGUGCUCGCUCUUGGUGAUUUGGCCUUGACUUCAGCCAAGCAGCUGAUGCAGACGAAGCCUCCGUUUGCAGGACUGGCAAAGUGCACGCUGAAGAAAGAAGGAAGAAAUUUUUCAAAAAGCAGCUCUGGGGAGGUUUCAUACUCCCCCCCCCCUUUUUUUAAUUUUUAAGUGAAUAUUUUCCAAAUUUGAUCAGUUCCAGCCCCUCCCUCCACUCCCACCCAACUACCCUUUUUUCUCUCGUCAAAGCAUAAGCUACAGAGUUACAGUCUCGAGAUUUGGUGUAUCGCUUCCUGCCCCCGCCUCCCCUCCCCGCCCCCGUUCUCCGUCCUCUAUUGAAACACCUCGCCCAGCCUAGCGCACUGAGAGCUCUCAUUUCCCCCCCUUGCUCGGGAUGGUGCCACAGGAGGCUGUGCGGGCCCCGCUCCGCUUCGAAUGGUUGUGUUGAUGUUCCUUUCAGCUGGUCCUAUAGUACCCCUCCUCAGGAAUGUCUCCCCAGUGCAAGGACAAAGACUGAAGAGACUGCUAUAUUGAUGGACUCUCAAGCCAACUAUGAAGUUGAAACAAAGAAAGUGAUCACCUGAAGACACCUCCUCUGCUAAGAAACACCCCCAAAUUGUGCAGCUUCUGCCACUAGAACUCUCAGAACAAGAGACAAUCUUUUCAAGAAACAGAAAAACUCAAUAAUGACAUCUAGAUUUUCAUGAGCCAAGAACUUUCCUUUCCUCAUGUGUAUUCCUCUGUUUGUACUUAAAUUCAUGUGACAUUCAUUUUUUUCCUAGUAUGGAUAUGCUUAUUAAUGCACUUGUUUCAAAAUCCCAAAUUGCACAAAUGUGUUAAUAUUUUAAGAAACAAAAUGAAUCCUACAAGGAGAAUGAUGUUUAGCCACACAUAGGGUUGGAUCUUAAGAGUGACCUACAGAAUAAAAGUACUUUUAAAAUAAAGUAGUCAGAGGCUAUUCAAAGGGUAAAAUAAUCAUAGUACCACAUUGGUCCACUUGACACUAACCAAUCGAUCAUUUUUUUUAAAUCAAGAAAGCUAGAUUCUAUCAGAUAAAAUCACUGCUUCUAAAGAGUUUAAAUCUAGUUAGAAAAAGUUAUAGAAAUGUUUUCAAAGAUAAGUAACAGAUAGAGUCAGUAGAGGAUAAGAUCAAAAACAAAACCAAGCAAAAGAUGAGUUCAGGGGAGUUUGCCAUCAAGUUGGCAAAACUGACUUACUUAGGGAAGAAAGUUAUAAAAGAGGAAAAUAUGAGAUGAACCUUGAGUGAUGUCAAAGAUUUAGAUAAAUGGAAAGGAAGGAGAAAAUGGAGUUCUUUAGGUGGUUGUAAUUGGAGGAGGAAAUGAAUACACACAUCUUGUUGACUUAAACCCAGACAUUCAGCAGCUCUCUAUACAUAUCUGGAAAAGACUUUGCACAGUCACCUCCUGUCUCUCACCCCAGGUAUUACUUAGAAUUAUUAUCAUAUUUCCCUUCCUUUAAAGUAAGUAAGGGUGAUUGGUGACAAUAUGGAGAACUAUGAUUUUUCCAUUAACCUAAUAAUAAUUGGUAUUUAUUGAGUUCUGUUAAGCAUGUUACAUAUUAACUCACUUAAGCCUUUCAACAGCCUUGCAAAAUAGGUAUUAUUAUUCCCAUUGUACAGGCAAGAAAACUGAGGUUUAAGUAACUUGCCGAAGUGCCAUUUACAGGGCUCACCUUCAGUAUUGCAGUUGCAAAGCUCAUGAUCUAUAGUGCCAAGUUGCAAUAUUGUAGUCAAUGUCACAAUUAUUACCCCUUUUUAUAUUCCUUGAUAUUUUUCCAUGGCAAACAAUUAGCUAUUUUAUUUAAUAAUCACCUAAAACUUUUCAGUCUUCUGAUUAAAAUUACACUGGAGUGAUAGAAUGUAUUUUCAUGAUAGAAACUGGGAAAAAAAUGGGGAAUGAAGUUUAUCAGCAUUUCAGACUUUUUUUUUUUUUUUGCAAGACUUUGAUGAGAUUGUUCACUUUUGUCUACGUAAAAUCCCAAAUCCUUGAGAAUAAAAAAGGGGGAGGUUUAAGUCACUUGUUGCAAUGCCCUUUUUAAUAGAGGCAAUAAAUCUAAAGGCCAUAAAUUUAGAGUGACUUACAGAAGAUCGAACUUUGGAGUGUGGCAGAGUAAGGGCUGGAAACCAGGCCCUCCAGUUCACUAUCAGUAGCUCUUGCACUGGUCUGCCCUUCCUAAAUUAAGUAUGCACUUCAAUUUGAUGAGUGGAAACAGUCUAUCUGGGCAGUAACCAGGGAGCUUUGUGCCUAGUAGAUUGCUUCUGUUCUGCACUUCUUUGGUUUCCCACCUCAAUGUAAAAAAUAGCUAGCAAUGAAGUCCAGAAGUUGUCAAUGGUUCAUCCCCAGAAGAAUGCAUAAUGUCCAAAGUGGUAUGUGUAUGAUGUCUUCAAUGGUAUUAAGUUAUUUCAAAUUCUUAGUUCACCUACAUAAAUCAUUUCUAACAAGCAUCUUCUUAACCAACUUUAUGCAUAGUGUAUGUUUGUAAGUGCUUCUGCACGAAUGUUUAUACAUGACUGUUUCCAUAGUACUUAUGUUUUUAAAAAUAUUCAGUCAUUUCCUAUUAUAAUCCUCAUGUAUCCAUGUAACUGACUCAAAAAUACUUCAGCCAUAGAAAGCUAAAACUGAGCAAAUCUCAUUCUCUUUUCCAUCCCCUUUGCAUGUGGCUGGCAUUUAGUAAUGAUUAAUAAUAUGGCCAGCUGAAUAACAGAGAUUCGAGACACAAUUCUUUCUCAAAGGAGUCAGCUAAGCUGGGUCUACUUAUGGACAAACAUCUAAAUGUGUGGAAGUAUCUGAUAUUUGACAACGGUAAAUUUCCACUUAGCUAGCUAGCAUUGUCAGACUUCAAUCUCCUCAUGGCUCUGGCCGUCCUGUUUUCAGCAUGAUAAUUGUUGGCCACAUCUCACAUAGUUCUCAUUGAGUGAGUUCAUAAAUAAACAGGGUUUUUUUUUUUUAAGAGCAGCCAAGCACAAAGUGUGACUUUGUUGACAUUUUAUGUGACUUUGUCAUAUGUUCCUAACCCCCAAUAAAAGCAAUGCUGCAUCAA
rnacentral:lncRNA from 1 species